GACGAACCGUCCAAACGUUAUUCGGAAUUACUGGGCUUAAAGGGUGCGUAGGCGGCGCGGAAAGUUGGAUGUGAAAUCCCUCGGCUCAACCGAGGAACUGCGUUCAAUACUGCCGUGCUUGAGGGAGAUAGAGGUGAGCGGAACUUAGGGUGGAGCGGUGAAAUGCGUUGAUAUCCUAAGGAACACCGGUGGCGAAAGCGGCUCACUGGAUCUCUUCUGACGCUGAGGCACGAAAGCGUGGGGAGCAAACAGG
rnacentral:rRNA from 1 species